UACUAGCGACAAAAUUAAAAUUAAUGGGCUGGCACUGGGGCGUAGCGGGUAACCCCCGUGCCUGUGAUCCGGCGUCCCAUGUGGGCUCUCAUUCCAGGCCCGGCUGCUCCACUUCCGAUCCAGCUCCCUGCUGAUGCGCCUGGGGAAGCGGCAGAGGACGGCCCACAUGCUGGAGCCCCGGCACCCACAGGGGAGACCUGGGGGAGGCUCCUGGCUCCUGGCUUUGGUCUGGUCUGGCCCCAGCCAUUGCAGCCAUUUGUGGGAAGAACCAGCAGAUGGAAGACUCUCUCUCGCUGUCUCUCCCUCCCUCUGUAACUGACUUUCAAAUACAGAGCACAGAAAUAUUUUUAAAAAUUGAAGCAUGAAACUUCAGUGGGCAGAUCACAGCCCAAGGGCUCUAAGCCUGCUGGACUGAGGCUCCGCCUCGGGCUCCCGGUGCAGCCUGGCGAACACACGGGACACAGCCGCUGGGACAGUGGAGCGUCGGAGGGCACAGCCGCUGGGACACCCGGAGCGUCGGAGGACACAGUCGCUGGGACACCCGGAGCAUCAGAGGACACAGUCGCUGGGACAGUGGAGCAUCAGAGGACACAGCCGCUGGGACACCCGGAGUGUCAGAGGACACAGCCGCUGGGACACCCGGAGUGUCAGAGGACACAGCCGCUGGGACACCCGGAGCGUCGGAGGACACAGUCACUGGGACACCCGGAGCAUCGGAGGGCACAGUCGCUGGGACACCCGGAGCAUCAGAGGACACAGUCGCUGGGACACCCGGAGUGUCAGAGGACACAGUCGCUGGGACACCCGGAGCAUGGGAGGACACAGUCGCUGGGACACCCGGAGCAUGGGAGGACACAGUCGCUGGGACACCCGGAGCAUGGGAGGACACAGCCGCUGGGACACCCGGAGCGUCGGAGGACACAGUCACUGGGACACCCAGAGCAUCAGAGGAUACAGUCGCUGGGACGGUGGAGCAUUGGAGGACACAGUCGCUGGGACACCCGGAGCAUCAGAGGGCACAGUCGCUGGGACACCCGGAGCAUCGGAGGGCACAGUCACUGGGACACCAGGAGCGUCAGAGGGCACAGUCACUGGGACACCAGGAGCAUCGGAGGGCACAGUCACUGGGACACCAGGAGCAUCGGAGGGCACAGUCACUGGGACAGUGGAGCGUUG
rnacentral:lncRNA from 1 species